UCCGGUAUCCCUAUUUUCCCGGACAAAAAGAAACAAACGUCGUCCACAUCCGUCGCCGUCGCCCAGCACUUCGCCGCCAUCGCCCAACCUGCCGUGCCCCACCCUUCCAUCGCACGUCGACCAGCCCGCCGCCGCCCAUCGACAAGCUACCUUCUUCCUGGCCGUUGCCCCCUCCUCCUCGCCUAGGUACUACCGCCGUGGCUGCAGCCAAAUCCUCGAACCAGUCGCCUCCUUCACACGUGCAUACCUCCUCCUCCUGGCCUGCUGCCAACUACCAGCGCGGCCUUCAGUGCUCCUCCUCCCCAAGUCCCCUGGAUCCAGAUCAGGAGGAAGAGAGAUACGAAAGAGGCCCGGCCAGCACCUUCCUAGCAGAGAUCGAUUGAUGCAGUGCUGAAAGGUACACGGCAGAGCAUCCCUUGAACUCUUCUACGGUCCGAGGGUUUCUUCGCUUUAACUCCGGAAUAAAGCGAGCUGAUGUGCACGUGUUGUAAAACGAUGAUAUUGCCUCCUUGGGCUGCAGGUGUUUGCGGUUUUUAACGAAAGUGGGCCACCGUGCGAUGUAUUCUUGGAGCGUCUCGUUCUGCCGUUGAUUGCGGUAUCCAAGUUUAUACUUUCUUUGGGGCCUGGGUGAUCGAAGUUGGGCUGGGACUUUUUUCGAUCGUUUGCUCCCAUUAUCCUGGUUUGGUGCUUCUUCCUGGGUUUUUCCCGCAGCCAUGUACUGUUUCUUUGAUCUGUUGUAUCGUGACGAUACCUCUUCUCGACAUUUGUGGUGGUCUUCCAUCGGGUGCUUCGUGUAAUCCUCUUGGAUCGAAUUUCCUUCACUAUCCAGUUUUUGAAGGAUGAAUCGCUGCUUGCGAUGAAAAUAUGAUUGGUCGCCGCUGUGUCAGUGACAAAGGUGGCUUCCCAAGCCCCCGUGUGAUCUUAUCGAAAGAUCAUCGUGCUUUCUUUUUCUGCUGGAGAUCGAUCUCUCGAUUUCGCCGGAUCUCGAUCAUCUCCUGAUGAAGAUUUUCUCCCAUUGUGGGCCCCACGGUGGGCGCCAACUGUCGAUUAAUCUCAGAGUCAGAUACCAUCACGGAGGAUGAUUGUAGAGCGGGGCCGACGAGAGAGUAGAUGGAGGAAGAAGAUGGAUUCGGCGAGUAAUGAAAGAGACAAGGUUUUAUACAGGUUCACUUUAUCCCUUCUCGUGGAGAUGAACCUACGUCAUGUUGACAAUCUAUUAUUUGUGUAUGAUAUUACAAGUUGUGUUUUGCCCAUUGAGGACUGGCUCGUCUUUAUAUAGUCGAACAGAUAGGGUUUGGGGCGGAGCCGGGUUCGUAACCAACUAGGACUCUGCCUUCUAUUCCACUAAGGAUUAUUCCUUUACAAGAUAUGCAUACGGCAUCCUUUCUAUACAAGAUUGAUACAUACUAAGACCUAUACUAGGCUUCCUUUUCUGGCACAA